ACAACUCAACACAAACCUUCUUGAACAGUUUCAAUAUCAUCUUUGUUUUUGGUUGAAACUCGCAACAACACAUUUCUCAUCUUUCCUCCAAAGGGCAUACCCAUCACAUCACAUCACCAUGGUUGAAACUAGACGCAGUUCCUCUUCUUCCAAGCGCUCUCUCUCUUCUCCUUCAUCUCCUCCUUCAAGCACUAAACGAUCCAAGGUUUCAGAGGAUGUCUCAUCCGCUGCAAAUCCCUCGCCGUCGGUUAACGAAUCCGCCAAAGGAGAUAUACGGUCAUCUGAUCUGCAAGAAACGUCGUCGUUGAAUGCUGUUGAUUGUGAUAACGAUAAGUCUUCUUCUGUGGCUGUCAAAACUGAGGCUUUAAUGUCUCCUCUUCGGUGUUUAGACUCAGGUGACAUUGCGGAGAAAUCAAAGGGUUUGCCACCCAUAGCUCGGCCGAAGAAACGCGGCAUCAAACUGUGUCCCAAGGCUGAGGAUGCUUGGGGAAAGCUCAUUUCUCAAUCUUCCGAGAAUCCUCACCUGUCCAUGUGUGAGCCUAUUUACACAGUUGGUCAAGGUCGACAAUGUAAUUUAUGGCUUAAAGAUCCCGCUCUUAGUCAUGUUUUGUGCAAAUUGAGCCACAUAGAGUUUGCACAGCAUGGAAGUUCAUCUGUUGCAUUGCUUGAAAUCGUAGGGAGUAAAGGUGCUGUGCAAGUUAACGGGAAGUCAUAUGGUAAGAAAUCCUGUCUAAUUUUAAGUGGAGGUGAUGAGGUUGUCUUUGGCUCUUCAGGGAAGGAAGCUUAUAUCUUUCAGCAGCUCAGUAAUAAUAAUAAUAAUGUCACUACUGCCAGUGCCAAUGUACCUUCUCCUGUGAGUAUUUUAGAAGCCCAGGGUGCUCCAAUAACUGGAACGCAAGUUGAUGCUAGAUCUGGAGACCUAUCGGCUGUUGCUGGAGCUUCAAUAUUAGCUUCUUUUCCUAAUCUUGAUAAAGAAUUAUCUGUCACUCCACCUCCUGGUAACACUAGCAUGAACUUGCAACAGAACACUGACGUUGCAUCAGUACCUGCCAGUAAUGGGGAUGAAACGCCAAACACUGAAGUGAAGCAGAGCACCAAUCAUAAAGAAUCGAAUGGAGUUUUUUCUUCUGAGGAAACUGGUCUUCUGUCCUCUGCCACUGUUAAUGAAGAUCCUAAGGUUGACUCUCUAGAUGUCAAUGCUGGUGUGGAUACAGAUGUUGGGAAGACGACUGCUCCUGCAGGCAACUUGAGACCAUUAUUGCACAAGCUUUCUGGAUCAUGUCCUGCAUUUGAUUUAAGUGGCAACAUUGCCAGGAUAUUGGGAGAACGAAAGGAAUUAAGGGAACUCCUUAAAGAUGUUGAUACCCCGACAGCAUUGGCACCGCCCAGGAAACAAGUUUCGACGGAUAAUUUACGGUUGAGAAUUCUCUGUGCUGAGAAUAUUGAUGUUUCAUUUGAAAGUUUCCCAUAUUAUCUAAGUGAUACAACAAAGAAUGUUUUGAUUGCUUCUGUGUACAUUCAUUUGAAGUGCAAUGGCUCUGGAAAAUUUGUUUCAGACCUUCCGUCAUUGUCCCCUCGGAUAUUGUUAUCUGGUCCUGCAGGUUCAGAAAUAUAUCAAGAGACUCUGUCCAAGGCACUUGCAAAAUAUUUUGGUGCGAGGCUAUUAAUUGUGAAUUAUCUCUCUCCUCCCGGGCGAGCACCACUGAAGGAUGUUGAUUCUACCAAAGAAAGUUCAAGGCCUGAAAGACCAUCUGUGUUUACCAAGAGAAGUACUCAAGCUAUUACAUUACCGCUCAAGAGACCAUCUACUAGUGUUGAUGCCCAAAUUAUAGGUGGUUCCUCAUUAAGUUCACCGGCUAUUGUGAAGCAAGAAGUUUCUACGGCAUCGUCAAAAGGCAUUACUCUUAAAACAGGUGAUCGGGUAAAAUUUGUCGGUGAUUUCCCUUCUGCUGUCUCAUCACCGCAAGAUUUUCCUUCAAGGGGGCCGAGUUAUGGUUGCCGGGGCAAAGUUCUCCUCGCUUUUGAAAAUAAUGGGUCUUCAAAAAUUGGGGUUAGAUUUGAGAAAUCAAUUCCAGAUGGAAACGAUCUUGGUGGCCUUUGUGAAGAUGACCGUGGCUUCUUUUGUGCUGCCAAUCAUUUAGUACUGGUAGAUGGUUGUGGAGGGGACGAAUCUAGCAAAAUUGCUGUUAGUGAAAUCUUUGAGAUUGCCUCUAAUCUGAGUAAAACUGGAGCACUAGUGGUGUUCAUUAAAGAUAUAGAGAAGGGUGUGGCUGGGAACUCAGAAGUUUUGAAAAGUAGGCUCAGUAACUUGCCACCAAAUGUUGUAGUAAUUGGUUCACAUAUCCAACCGGACAAUCGUAAGGAGAAGACCCAACCUGGCAGUCUUCUGUUUACAAAAUUUGGAGGCAAUCAGACAGCACUACUUGAUCUUGCUUUUCCGGAUAACUUUACUAGACUCCAUGAUAGGAGCAAAGAAACCCCCAAAGUAAUGAAGCAACUCAAUAGGCUUUUCCCAAACAGAGUUACAAUACAGCUGCCUCAGGAUGAGGCUUUGAUUUCUGAUUGGAAGCAGCAGCUAGAACGUGACAUAGAAACUAUGAAAGCUCAGUCCAACGUUGUCAGCAUUCGCUCAGUUCUCAAAAGGUUUGAACUGGAUUGCCCUGACCUUGACACUCUCUGCAUCAAAGAUCAAACUCUGACAACUGAAAAUGCGGAGAAGAUUAUUGGCUGGGCUAUAAGUUACCAUUUUAUGCAUUCAUCUGAACCUUCUUUCAAUGAUUCAAAGCCUUUGAUAUCUGCUGAGAGCAUUCAAUAUGGGUUUAACAUUCUACAGGGCAUUCUAAAUGAGAACAAAAGCGUAAAAAAAUCACUGAAGGACGUAGUUACUGAGAAUGAAUUUGAGAAAAAACUGCUUGCUGAUGUUAUUCCACCAACUGAUAUUGGGGUCUCAUUUGAUGAUAUUGGAGCUUUAGAAAAUGUGAAGGACACCUUAAAGGAAUUGGUUAUGCUUCCUCUUCAAAGGCCUGAAUUGUUUUGCAAAGGGCAACUAACUAAGCCUUGCAAGGGAAUAUUGCUUUUUGGCCCCCCUGGCACGGGAAAAACAAUGCUUGCAAAGGCUGUAGCAACUGAAGCUGGAGCAAAUUUUAUUAACAUCUCCAUGUCCAGCAUUACUUCAAAGUGGUUUGGUGAAGGAGAAAAAUAUGUCAAAGCAGUCUUUUCUCUGGCUAGCAAAAUUGCUCCAAGCGUUAUUUUUGUUGAUGAGGUUGAUAGUAUGUUAGGGAGACGCGAAAAUCCUGGUGAGCAUGAGGCUAUGCGUAAAAUGAAGAAUGAGUUUAUGGUCAAUUGGGAUGGUCUGCGUACAAAAGAUAGAGAGCGUGUACUUGUUCUUGCUGCCACAAACAGGCCUUUUGAUCUUGAUGAGGCUGUUAUUAGGAGGCUUCCACGAAGAUUGAUGGUUAAUUUGCCAGAUGCAACAAACAGAGAAAAAAUUAUGAGAGUCAUUUUAGCAAAGGAAGAUUUGGCGCCUGAUGUUGAUUUAGAAGCAUUAGCAAAUAUGACUGAUGGAUAUUCCGGAAGUGACCUAAAGAAUCUGUGUGUCACAGCAGCGCAUUGUCCAAUAAGAGAGAUCUUGGAGAAGGAAAAGAAGAUAUUUUUUUCGGGGGGAGGGAGCGCUCAACAUUGCUAUGGCUCAUCGAAGUUAGUCUGAAAUGUGAGAAGUAUAUACAAUGGAGAAGUGAUUGAUAAAACUCCAAUUUUCCAUUACGAUUAUCACAAGAACUAAAGACCCAACAAUUCAGUCUCACAAUUUCAAUUCAACCCAAUUUAGUCGCUAUACCCAAAUUUAAUACAAGAACGAAAGAUGCUGACUUAUAAGUUUUUUGAGACAAAUCAUCACUCCUUUUGAAUUAUUCAACAAAAAAGACCAACAUCAGUUCCUCGCUCACUUGGGCCAAAUUAGUCCCUCCCUUUGAAUUUCAAAUUGUUCAACAAAAAAGAUCCAAAUCAUUCUCUCGACGAGGUCAACUUCGGAUGCCACUUUAUUGUAGAAUGUGUUUUGUGACUGUCAUCUUUACUGCUGUUUCAAUGGGACUGGUUGAAAUUCUAAUGCAUGGAUUACUUCACUUUAAUAUUGAAGGAGAAAAGCUUAGCGUUGGCUGAGAACAAACCUAUACCUGAACUGUGUGGCAGUGCCGACAUUCGGCCCUUAAAGAUGGAAGAUUUUAGAUAUGCACAUGAGCAGGUGUGUGCGAGCGUAUCAUCCGAGUCAACAAAUAUGAACGAACUACUCCAAUGGAAUGACCUCUAUGGAGAAGGUGGCUCGAGAAAAAAGACAUCUUUGAGCUAUUUCAUGUAAAGCUAUCUGUUUAGAAUUUAUUACUUAGAAUAUAUUCCAUCAUUUGUCCUGCCUUAAAUGUAUUAUAGCAUAAGGGUUCCCUUUUUUCCUUUCCUAACCAUCUUUUGAGAUAAAAGGUUAUUUUUAGUGGCCCUGCUGAUCCAACUCUUUUCCUCUUCCCCUGGCAUUGUGAGAUGCCCUUUUGUAAAUACUAAAUCAGUACAUACAAAAUAAAAUAGUUUUUAUUUUGCUAAUUUCAUAGAUAUAUUUUAAGGUGUUGUAUUUGUAAUUUCCAUAUUGAAAAUUAGACAUCGUAAAUGUUUGAUGUGGUACUGGUGCUAACUGCAAAUCCAUUAUGGAAUGUGAUUAUUCUAACUUGUCAAUGUU